rnacentral:lncRNA from 1 species
GGGGGACAUAAACAUUUAGACCAGAGCGUAAAGUGACCAGGGAAGGCUCCUCUGAGGUGUUUCAGCCAAGAUCUUCAAUGAAGCAGGACUUUUGUGGUUGCAGGUCUUAGAAACUCCACACAGAGUAACAAGCAUACACAAAUCGAAAGAUUGUAUUGCUUUGCCUAACGAGAAAGUCUGGGAGUGGUUGACUUCAGGCACAGGUGAAUUUAGGUGUUGAGAUAAUUUUUGUCAGGAAUUUCCUCCCUGAUUCCCCUCUCUGUGUGGGGUCUGGGCUUCCCUGGCUCCCUGGAGAUAGAGAAGACCGCCCAGGAAAAGUAGGCAAGGGGCAGAACCUGCUCCUGCCAUAAGAGCCAGCAUCUCUCACAAGGCCUUCGAUGCAUCCAAAGAAGCCCACAGCCAUCUCUGCAGAGACACUCAGUCCUCAAAAGAAGUGGAAAACAGCAACCAGACCCCGUACUUAGAGCCACAGAGACCAAGGAGCAGCAUGAUGACGCC